UACGUAGGGUCCGAGCGUUGUCCGGAAUUAUUGGGCGUAAAGGGCUCGUAGGCGGUUCGUCACGUCGGGAGUGAAAACUCGGGGCUUAACCCCGAGCCUGCUUCCGAUACGGGCAGACUAGAGGUAGGCAGGGGAGAGCGGAACUCCUGGUGUAGCGGUGGAAUGCGCAGAUAUCAGGAGGAACACCGGUGGCGAAGGCGGGUCUCUGGGCCAUUACUGACGCUGAGGAGCGAAAGCGUGGGGAGCGAACAGG
rnacentral:rRNA from 1 species